rnacentral:lncRNA from 1 species
CAUCAUAAGGAUACAACGAUCCAGCAACCCAAAGUUGACUGGGAGACGACAGCCUAGACCUCUCACGAGCUCGUCACAACAUCUUCCAUGCGCCUCAUCCUGCGGUACCUGUUCUUGACCUGUGGGGGAUGUAAGACAGCAAGAGUGAGCUCACAUACGUUCAUCGCUCAAUAAGUUGUGGAGAAAAAUGUGCAUGAACUCGCCAAAGGUGGGAGCUCAUGUGAAGUGUAAGGCUUACCAAAGAGGAUGGUUGAAGCUGAGCAUUGCUUUUAAAGUUGGUCAAAAUUUUAUUAGAAAUUACUAAGUAUAAGUAAAUACCAACCCAAUUAAGUAAUAGAACAAAAGUGAUAACAAAACCCUCAAUGCAAUGCAUAUGACAAUUUGAAUUUAGUUUCAUAAAUUAAUCAUGUGAGGGUUCGAGCUACUCAUGACCGUGAGCACGACUAGUAUACCAGUUUUACACUCUACAGAGGUUGCGCAUCUUUACCCACAAGUCGGGUUACCCAUUUGCCACGGGGUUGAUCGGACCCCAUACACCUCUUCCAAGGAAGCGAGGCAGGGUACCACUACGAGGCCUUUACAAAGUUCCACUAGCUUCAGAAACCCGCUACUGUUUCUAGGAAGCUCCAAUGCAGGGACCCCUCGCCUGACCGUCGUCGCAACAAAAUCAAACCAAGGGCCUCCCUACACUGACCACUCCCCUACUGCCCUUGUCCCUUUCGGGUAAGGUAGUCCUCCACUAGCUUUCCUAAUUAGUCAGCCAAGGGCGUCCCAUACCAUCCUUGUGGUAGCACUGUUUUCCCGAGUGGUCGCUCCAUGUUCCAAUUAACAUAAUGAUCUUAUCAUGAACAGUGAAUAACAAUUGAUAAUAAAAGUAUGAUAAUGAAUAAUGUGUACCUCCAUACCCAAAACCACAUAAAGCAAUAGCAUGUACUACCCAACAAUUCAGUGGUAAACAAGGUAUAAAGAUAGUCAAACUAGGGUAACCUAUUGGGUCCCAUCAAAAUUAACCUAUGCAGAUCAUUAUGAUUAAUAAGAACAUGAUUGGGGAAAAGAAGUGAUCAAGGGCACAACUUGUCUGGGACUUGAGAUUCCAGGUACCAACAUGCUGUCCAGAUGAUUCGUAACCUCGCGCUAGUCGUAAAAAUACAAACAAACAGUGUAUAUGCAAAAUUAACAUUGCACCAAACAUAAUAACAAACUGCAUAAUAAUAGCAUACGCGUUGCUACGAGAUCGUGGGCGCGAGAAUUACAAAAAUCAGAUUUACGGUUCAAAAGUUAUGGUUUUUAUGUGAUCAAUUAUGGGGACUAUGUCUAUGUUAAUUAAUAAAUCAUGUGAGAAAUAUAUCCUUAAGAAAAUAUUAAUUUAGUUUUAACCUAAGUUAUAACUUGUUAGAAUCAUAUUUCUUUAGUUAGACUAUAGUCAUAGGUUGAUUUACCAUGUCACAUUAACGUGGUUUACAAAAGUAAAUUUAAUAAACAUAUAUUCAAUUACUUAUGCAAGCACUAACAUAAUUGUUGUUAUCAUGUAGACAAUAUUAAUGUGAGGCUAACGCAAUUUGAAUGGUGUAAAUCAGAGUUACGGUUAAAAAGUUACGAAUUUCUAAAGAUUUAGUAGUGGUGUACAAAAGAAAUUAAGUACAUUAUUUCAGUUUAGGUUUCAUAACAGAAUAAAGUUACUGGAUAAUAAACAAUAUUAAUACAAGUCUAAUGCAACUGGAAUGAAUUAAUUUGGAGUUAAAAUGGAUUUAAUACGAAUUAAACAAGUUUUUUAGAUUUUUUUUAUAAUAAGAACCCAUUUUCUUUAUUAACUUUACCUAUUUUAUUAAUUAAUGGGCUGCGGCCACAAUUUUCCAGAAGUCCGGGGUCCAUUCUGGAAAAACUCGAGGGCAUGGUCUAAACCCCCAACACCCAGUCUGGGUCGUGGGUUUAAUCUUAAUAAAGUCAGGGACUCUUCUGCAUAUUUUCCGAGCCGAAGGGGUAUGGAUAGACUUCGGUCGUCCAAUCAAGGCCGAAUGGCACCGAUUAGAUCUAAUAAUAAGUGAAGCGGUAUGAAACCGUGGCCAUACGAUCAAGACCCUACGGUUAUGAUUUAAAAUAACUGAGCCCGAUCUCAACCGUACGAUCUGAAAUCAAGGAUCCAGAUCAGAUCCACAAUUUUACGUAGCGGUAUGAAUCCCUAUCCAUUGGAUUUCGAAUCGUUGGCCUGAGAAAUGCCCACGCCACCCCAUUAUCGUCACCGUUCAAACAGGAUCCAAUGGAUCCCCGUUAUCUUCUCCCCUCACCACUGGAGUGCGGAGGCGCCCCAAAUUCCUCACCGGCGAGCACACCGGUAGCCGCACCAGGGCUUCCCAAGCUGAAUCGAGCACGUCUACACAAAAUAUAUGACAACGCAAAUGACAUGAAGGUUUUAUUACCGAUGGCCUUGUAGGGGAAAGCUCCAGCCACGAUGAGGGGCGGAUCCGCGGCGGAGUGUGAGCACCGGCGAGCAAUCUGAGGGAUGAUGACCCCCGAUCGUGCCUGGAAAUCCCACACGCUAACACCAGGGAACGUGGUGAAGCUCUUGCACUACCUAUUGGACCCAAAACGAGGACGCACGUCACGAACAAUGACGGCGGCAUCCCUCGGCUCGAUUUCACCCGCUUCCCUCCCACUCUUGCUUUGAUGAUUUCUGAUUCUUCCUCAGCUUGAUGGCGCACGACUUCUAUGCAUUGAGAAGCGAGAUGAAACGACCGACCCGGUCGCGAGAACGACGGAGGUAGCUCAACGACCCGGCGUCCAC